rnacentral:rRNA from 1 species
GUGGGUAGCGGUGAAAUUCCAAUCGAGCCCGGAGAUAGCUGGUUCUCCCCGAAAUAGCUUUAGGGCUAGCCUCAAGGUGAGAGAUACGGAGGUAGAGCACUGAAUGUCCUAGGGGGUAUUGCACCUACCGAAGACUAUCAAACUCCGAAUGCCGUCAUCUUAUACUUGGGAGUCAGACUGUGGGUGAUAAGAUUCAUAGUCGAAAGGGCAACAGCCCAGAUCGUCAGCUAAGGUCCCUAAAUGUAAGUUAAGUGGUAAAGGAUGUGGGAUUGCACAGACAACCAGGAUGUUGGCUUAGAAGCAGCCACUCAUUCAAAGAGUGCGUAAUAGCUCACUGGUCGAGUGAUCCUGCGCCGAAGAUUUCCGGGGCUAAAACUUACUACCGAAGCUACGGCGUCAGGAAUGAUGGGUAGGGGAGCUUCCCAUACGGGUUGAAGCAUGACCGUAAGGACAUGUGGACAGUAUGGGAGUGAGAAUGUUGGCAUGAGUAGCGAGAUGUGGGUGAGAAUCCCACAGGCCGUAAACCCAAGGUUUCCAGGGGAAGGUUCGUCCGCCCUGGGUUAGUCGGGACCUAAGCUGAGGCCGAAAGGCGUAGGUGAUGGACAACAGGUUGAUAUUCCUGUACUACCGAUAACCGUUUGAGAGAUGGGAUGACACAGUAGGAUAAGCUAAGCACACUGUUGGUUAUGUGUGCCCAAGCAUUGAGGCAGUCAAAGUAGGCAAAUCCGCUUUGAUAAUGCUGGGAUGUGAUGGGGAGCGAAAUUUAGUAGCGAAGUAGCUGAUUUCACACUGUCAAGAAAAGUCUCUAUCGAGGUUAAAGGUACCCGUACCGCAAACCGACACAGGUGGGUGAGG